CUCGAGCGAGGUUGUAGCUGGCCCCUUCCGGGGGGUGACAUGCACACCUCGUCUCUGUCUUCAAUCUCACCCCUGUGCACCUCCGCGUCGGGCUCCGGGCGUUCGCUCGUUCGGGGCUCACGUCUUUUCCACGAAAUAAACCUUUGCAUGUAUCGGAACGUCUCGUUUGCUGUCGAAGCAAAACUUGUACAACUUUCAACAACGGAUCUCUUGGCUCUCGCAUCGAUGAAGAACGCAGCGAAAUGCGAUAAGUAAUGUGAAUUGCAGAAUUCAGUGAAUCAUCGAAUCUUUGAACGCACCUUGCGCCUCUUGGUAUUCCGAGGGGCACGCCUGUUUGAGUAUCGUGAAAUCAUCAACCCGACUCCUUUUUUGUGAAAAGGGGGGAGGAGGGCUUGGACUUUGGAGGUCUUGCCGGUCUCGUCGGUUUGGGUCGGCUCCUCUUGAAUGCAUUAGUGGGGCUUGUCUGCUCUCUCUGCCUCUCGGCGUGAUAAUUCAUCUUGCGUCGACGUGUGAGGGUGGAUGUGGCGUCGCUUCUAACCAUCUCGUCCGAGACGAGCGUGUUUUCGAACCCUUUGAUCUCAAAUCAGGUGGGACUACCCGCUGAACUUUAAGCAUAUCAAUA
rnacentral:rRNA from 1 species